rnacentral:rRNA from 1 species
UACUGAACCUUCGGGGAACGAUAACGGCGUCGAGCGGCGGACGGGUGAGUAAUGCCUAGGAAAUUGCCCUGAUGUGGGGGAUAACCAUUGGAAACGAUGGCUAAUACCGCAUGAUGCCUACGGGCCAAAGAGGGGGACCUUCGGGCCUCUCGCGUCAGGAUAUGCCUAGGUGGGAUUAGCUAGUUGGUGAGGUAAGGGCUCACCAAGGCGACGAUCCCUAGCUGGUCUGAGAGGAUGAUCAGCCACACUGGAACUGAGACACGGUCCAGACUCCUACGGGAGGCAGCAGUGGGGAAUAUUGCACAAUGGGCGCAAGCCUGAUGCAGCCAUGCCGCGUGUGUGAAGAAGGCCUUCGGGUUGUAAAGCACUUUCAGUCGUGAGGAAGGUGG